rnacentral:rRNA from 1 species
UGGCAGCGGUCCAAGUUCCUUGGAACAGGACGUCACAGAGGGUGAGAAUCCCGUACGUGGUCGCUAGCCUCCGCCGUGUAAAGCCCCUUCGACGAGUCGAGUUGUUUGGGAAUGCAGCUCUAAAUGGGAGGUAAAUUUCUUCUAAAGCUAAAUACUGGCCAGAGACCGAUAGCGCACAAGUAGAGUGAUCGAAAGAUGAAAAGCACUUUGGAAAGAGAGUCAAAUAGCACGUGAAAUUGUUGAAAGGGAAGCGCUUGCAGCCAGACUUGCCUGUAGUUGCUCAUCCGGGCUUUUGCCCGGUGCACUCUUCUACAGGCAGGCCAGCAUCAGUUUGGGCGGUUGGAUAAAGGUCUCUAUCACGUACCUCUCUUCGGGGAGGCCUUAUAGGGGAGACGUCAUGCAACCAGCCUGGACUGAGGUCCGCGCAUUUGCUAGGAUGCUGGCGUAAUGGCUGUAAGCGGCCCGUCUUGAAACACGGACCAAGGAGUCUAACAUCUAUGCGAGUGUUUGGGUGUCAAGCCCGAGCGCGUAAUGAAAGUGAACGGAGGUGGGAACCCUUUGGGUGCACCAUCGACCGAUCCUGAUGUCUUCGGAAGGAUUUGAGUAAGAGCAUGGCUGUUGGGACCCGAAAGA